CAAAGAUUAAGCCAUGCAUGUCUAAGUACAUACUUUUACAUAGUGAAACCGCGAAUGGCUCAUUAAAUCAGUUAUGGUUCCUUAGAUCGUACAUUACUACUUGGAUAACUGUGGUAAUUCUAGAGCUAAUACAUGCAAAACAGCUCCGACCUCGCGGAAAGAGCGCUUUUAUUAGAACAAGACCAAUCGGGUCGAAAGGCCCGUACCACUGGUGAAUCUGGAUAACUUUGUGCUGAUCGCAUGGCCUCGAGCCGGCGACGUAUCUUUCAAAUGUCUGCCCUAUCAACUUUCGAUGGUACGUGAUAUGCCUACCAUGGUUGUAACGGGUAACGGGGAAUCAGGGUUCGAUUCCGGAGAGGGAGCAUGAGAAACGGCUACCACAUCC
rnacentral:rRNA from 1 species